AAAUGAAUAGACGGGGGCCCGCACAAGCGGCGGAGCAUGUGGCUUAAUUCGACGCAACGCGAAGAACCUUACCAGGGCUUGACAUGCCGGGAAAAGCCGUGGAAACACGGUGUGCCCGCGGGCGUCCGGCACAGGUGGUGCAUGGCUGUCGUCAGCUCGUGUCGUGAGAUGUUGGGUCAAGUCCCGCAACGAGCGCAACCCCCGCCCCAUGUUGCCAGCGGUCCGGCCGGGGACUCAUGGGGGACCGCCGCGGUCAACGCGGAGGAAGGUGGGGACGACGUCAAGUCAUCAUGCCCCUCAUGCCCUGGGCUGCACACAUGCUACAAUGGCCGGCACAAUGGGCAGCGAAACCGCAAGGUGGAGCGAAUCCCCAAAACCGGCCCAAGUUCGGAUCGGGGUCUGCAACUCGACCCCGUGAAGCCGGAGUCGCUAGUAAUCGCGGAUCAGCAACGCCGCGGUGAAUACGUUCCCGGGCCUUGUACACACCGCCCGU
rnacentral:rRNA from 1 species